rnacentral:lncRNA from 1 species
GAAGACUGAGUUGAUACCGAGUCAAGAGGCGAUUGGGGGCAACCAGUGAGGAGCAAAGUCAUAGAUGAGCCAGUUGACAUCGGAGUUCUGUAGAAACUCAGUGAGAGGGAGUUGGAGCUGGUCGUAGGCUCGUUUCAGAUUCGGGAAUAGGUGGAAUGGCAACUCGGAGGUGGACUCGGCGGAGUCGGGCAAGCCAUGGACGGCAGGCAGAGGCAGUGGCAGUCGUACCAUGGUUACAAGUGAGGAUAAAUUUGGAAUUUGAGAGAGGCGACGAAGGUUUUUAGGGGUGGAGAGGAAGGAAAUGCGGUGACCCCUUUGAACUAAGUGGCUGGAGAGAUGAAGAAAAGGUAAGAAGUGGCCAAAGGCCAGCCAUGGGAACACAGCUAUGUGAAGCUUCUGAUGCUCUUUCUUCAUCUCAUCCAUGGCAAUGGAGUUGUGAGUUGUGAGAGAAAUGAUCAAGAUUCAAAACUUUGGGUAGAGCAGUGAUGUGAAGUUGCAGAAAGAGUUGUCGACUUGUGCUCAUCAUCAAAGGAGCAGCGCACCAUGGAUGGAUGUCCCGCUGUACUUUUAUUGGACCCUUAUCGUUAAAUCCUAUCACUCAUCCCCGCAAUGGUAAGCCAAGGGGAAAAAGUGUGUUUUGGUGAGAGGGUUUUGAAAAAAGAAAGAAAAAGGAAGAUAAAAUCCUUUAAAAAAUAAUUAAAAUUUUCAUUUCAUCAUCUCUCCUGUUAAACAAAUAUUCGAUUUUUAUAUUAAAAUAUAAAAAAUUUGAUUUAAUUAAAAUUUUAUUUUCAAAUUAUUUAAUCUUUACAUCAGAUAAUUAAAAUAAGUUAAAUGACUUUUAAAUAACAUAUGAAAAUAAUUUAUUAAUUAAAUUUUUUUUUUCUUCCAAUUUUUUCUUCUUAGAGACACAACUUUUCCCAUGAGAAAAGGUAGGAUCUUAAUUAUUGAGCGUGGCGGUGAGAUUUUGAAAUGAAAAUUGAUGGUCCUUGGAAACUAUUACCCGACUUGAAAUAGUUUUCUAUAUGCUAAAAUGAUUAAAUGAAAUAAUUUUUUUUGAGAUUUUAAAAAAAAAUAUAUAUUGUUUUUGGGAAUAAAAUUGAGAUAUCUUCAAUUAUAUUUUAAAAGUGUUUCAAAAAAUAAUUUACAAGAAUUAAUUUUUUUUUACAUUAUACAUUAUGUGCACAAAAUUCAUGAAAAAUAAUUAAAUUUUUUUUUUUCAAUGUUUUCAGAAUUGGAUUAAUCAUUAAAUUGAAAAGUUAUGGAUUUAUGGUUCAAUAGUUUGAUUGAUAGUUAAAUCGCGAUUGAACUGGUGAUGUAAUAAAUAUAUAAUUUAUAUAUUAUAUAAAAUUAAAAUUAUUUAUAAAAUUUAAUAUUAAAAAAUAAUAAUAAUUCAUUUUUAUAUAAUUCAUUUUAUCAAAUUAAAUUGGUAAUAAUAAAUAUAAAUAUAUUAAUAUUUUAAAUUUUAUUAAUUAAAAUAAUACACAUAUAAUAUUUUAAAGAAAAAUUAUAUGUUUAAAAUUGUAUAUUUUUUAUUUUAUAAUAUUUAAAAACAUUAUAUUAUUCUCAUAAAUAUUAUUAUAUAAUAAGUAUAAUUAUUUAAGGGUUUUAAAUAAUAAAAAUUUGAAAGAAGCAUUACUUUCCAAAUCCCAAUAGUCUAACAAUGCUUUUGAUAAGUUGGAGGUCCGAGGGUGAGUCCUCAGACAAACAGAAAAAAAAAAAAAAAGCUCAUGGAUCAUAAGCAAUAGGGCCUAUGAGGCUUGGCUUGGAUGGAAUAAUUAGAUAAUUCAAAAAUUAAGUUUAUUCUAUUAAUGUUUCCAUAAAUUACAAUAUUAUUAGAGAAAUUUUCAUGUGUGACAAAAUAAUAUUGUUAGAAUCACUUUAAAAAAUUCAAAACUAUAUUAUGAAAAAAAAAAAAAAAAAACAAUUAUGCCACUGUAAACCUCAUUUUUUUGUGUAGUUUUUUUAUUAUUUUUGUAGCACUUUGCUGUCAGCGUGUUUUAGAGUGGGGGACGACUGUGAGUUACAUGCAUGGGACAUGUGCCAAGACACCACCACCUUGCCAUGGUGGUAGUUGAGAUGGGGACUCCUUUUGAACAGAUGACAGAGGAGUGGGUGGUGAGCAGUAAAAUUGGUGAAGACUGGAGGUGAAAGAAAAACAGAGCAUGGGUGGGCUGUUUUGAGGGGGUACCAGCUAUGAAGAAGGGAGGGAGAAAAACGAGCAGCGGAGGGGGAUUUUUCUGGGAGAAAAAUCUGGAGAGUGGGUGCUGGGUUUUUGUGGCAGCUGAGGGAUUUUAGAAAGAAAAAGAAGAAGAGAGGUGAGCUGAAAUUUGGGGGGGCGGUGGGGGAACGCGUCUGAAAAUAGAGCAAGAGGAGAGGUGGAGUGAAAACGGGGAGAACGGUUUUUUUGAAAGAAAACAGAGCAAGAGGAAGGUUGUCCACGGGUGAGCGGUUUUUGAGGGAGGCGCCUGAAAACAGAGCAAGGGGAGAGCUGGAAGGAGAAACGGAGGACGUUUUUUUUAAGGAAAAAACAGGCAGCAACUGGAGAGAGAGAUCUAGGAGAAAAACGGAGCACUUGAAGCCAAGUGUGCUUGGCUCAAGAGGAGACACCCAUGUUCAUUGUGAACCGUGUAUUUUCUUAUUUUUGGAUGCCAUUUUACCUGAUGUCUCUGUUAACUUUUGGGUCGUUCUUGCUGGUCCUUCCAUGUUCGUUUCCUUGGCUUACCUUGAAAACUGGUGAGGUUUUUUUUAUCAUGUUCAUUGCGGGGCAUUCUGAAGAUCAACGCAUUUGCUCUACUGGGUGUCAUAUCUGCAUUGUAUUUGUUUUUGGCUUUUGCCUAUUCUGUUCUUCUUUGCAACAUACAUAUAUAUAUAUAUAUAAAAUGAAAGAUAUGGUAGUGUGCUCGAUGGGAGUGAACAGAGUAGGGCAGUCCCACAUAGAUUUUGUUGGGGAACGGAUUUAAAAGUAUGGAAAUCACACCCCUUUUUUUUAGGUUUCUAGGAUUUUUGAGUUUCGGGCUAGGUGGGUUUCUUCUUUUGGUUGGUUUUGCCACUCCAAAUGGCUCUCGUUCCACACUUUUUGAUUCACGUUCAGCAUUUCUCUACUUAGGCCUAUGUUUGGUGGCUGGGAAUUUAUAAGAAACUGAUUUUAGGAUCUGGGUAUUUGGUUAUAUGAGAUGAUCUUAAGAACUGUUUGAGGUUUCUACAAACUGCCUUGCAUUUUCAUAUUAUAAACCCAACACCUCUGGUUUGUUGGAAAUGAGUUUGAAAAAAUAAUAAUUGAGCAACUUGGGGCUUAAUUAAAAGUGUGACCCACAUUCCGAAAAUGUCGGGACCAUGCACCAACGCGUUCUCCUCCGUAAGAGUAUAACGUGGUAUAUUUAUUUGUUCAAAUCCAUUAAGUAUUGAAUGAGAAAAUUGACUCCAAAGUCACCCACUUGAAAUUAUAUAUUUAAGGAAACUUGGUAUAAACUUACCAUAAACACUUUAUCCCACGUAGGAAGGAAGUGUGAGGGGAAUGUGAAGAGUUUAUAUAUUGAAUUUUUGCACUAUAGGAACGGCCCAAGGGGCACCCUAAGUUUGUAAAGGGGAGGACCUACAUGGGUGUAGGCUUGUGUGGGUUUAACCCACACGGGCGCAGCCGCCCGGGCCCAUGGGUCUUGGGCUUGGGCUUGCUAUAUAUAUAUAUAAUUUUUGGGCAAAAAUCAUUUAAGUUUCUGGGUCGGGGUUAUCCGUUGGCUUUUCAUAAUUAAGAUUCAUUGUUAGAGUGUGCCUAUUCCGAACAGGUUCAUGACUAUUCCAAACAGGUACGUGUCUAUUCCGAAUAGGUUUAUACCUAUUCUAAACAGACACUAGGAAGUCUAUAAAUAGACUUUCUACCUCGGCAUUAAUAAAAUAAAAAAAAAAUUCAAUCAAUUCCUGCAUAUUUCUCUCUCUCCUCUUUGCAUCCUUUGUCAGUUCGAGUACAAAAUACAAGUUGUGUUCGUGGUGUUCUACAGAUUGAAGUGCUGCUUUUGUAGAACUGAAAAUCCGUUCUAUCUUGGGAGACAUUUAUUCACUACUUGAGCACCAGAGAGGGAAUAAAAUUGUCUUAAAGAAACAGUGUUGUCAUUGGGCUCGAAUUCAUAGAAUUAAAGUAAGUUCUGUAAUUUCAUUUAUUUUAUUUACAUACUUAUUUAAUGUUUACUUAAAGUAUAAACUGUAAAAAGAUUUUAUUGUUAACAUGGUUUGCUUUUUGCAUCUACUCCCCUUCAUUUUUAUGUAAUUCACCAUUCUCUUCCUCUACAAAGAAUCAAACAUGGCAUUCACAAUUUGAAAAGCUUGACCCAUCAAAAACAAUACAUCGAGGCCCUCAAACGCACCACACAAGAGCCACGUGUCAUCCUUUUUCUUUUUUCUUUUUCCUUCUUUUGAUAUUAAAAUUUUAUUUAUUUUUUAUUUUUUAUUUCUCCAUUCUCCAAUAAUUCAUCAAAAUUCCAAUUUUUAAAUUUAAUUUUCAAGAUUUUAAUUUUAAUUUAAUUUUCAAAACUCCAAUUUUUAAGUUUAAUUUUCAAAACUUCAAUUUUUAAAUCUAAUUUUCAAAAAUCUAAUUUUCCAAACUUUAAUUUUCAAAUUUAAAUUUUAAAAUUUCAAAUUUUAAAUAAUUUUCCAAAACUUCAAUUUUCAAAAUUCUCAAAUUCAUUUAUUUAAUAAUAAUAAUAAUAAUUAUUAUUAUUAUAUUUAUUUAUUUAUUUUUUAAAUUCCACUAUCAAAUAAUUCUUCAAAAUUCCAUUUUCUUAAAUUUAGUUUUCAAACUUCCAUUUUAAAAAUUUUUUGAAAUUUCGAUUAUUAAAUUUAAUUUUUUAAACUUCCAUUUUUAAUUAAUUAUUCAAAUUUUAAUUUUCACAUUUAUUUAUUUAAUUAUUGCUAUUAUUAUUAUUUUAUUUUAUUUUUUUAUUUUUAAAUUACAUUCUCAAAUAAUUCUUCAAAUUUUCAUUUUUUUUAAAUUUAAUCUUCAAGAUUUCCAUUUUCAAAUAAUUCUUUUUUAAAAUUUCAAAUAAUUUCAGAACUUUAAUUUUCUUUCAAAUAAUCUUAAUUUCACUCCAAUUUUCAAAUAUUUUUUUAAUUAACCACUUUUUAUCCUUACUAAAAAUUCUAUUUUUAAAUAAACUUGCUAUAUUUCCUUUCAGGGAAGCACCAUAAAUUUUCUUCGAUUUUAAAAUAAUUUUCCGUUUUUCUUGAUUUCUAACAAGCAUGAAGACAAUUUUCAUAAUUCCAAAAUAAUGGAAUUUGUGGGAUUAAUUUAUACAAAAUCAAUUGGGCUUUGGUGGGGCCCAACAUUCAUAACAUUUGUUUUUAAAAUAAUUUAAGUGAAUUGUAUAGUUAAUAUUGUUUGAUUUUGAUUGGUUUUAUGUGAAAUAUUUUACACUUAUCAUUGUACACCAACCUUGUUUCAUGAUAACACUUUAUUAUAUGUUGUCAAGCUACGAUCUUAUUCCUACUUUGCUUAUUCCUAUGCAUGAUUCGUUUUAUUAUUUGAUCUAUGAUCAUUUUGAUAUUUGUUGAUUUCUUUAUCAAUUAUCACACUUACUUCACCUUAUUUAGUAGAAACCAAUUUUUAAGAGCUUAGAGGAUCCUACGAUUUUUAUCGUACAUUUCCAAUAAGUAAUCUGAUCUUACCUUCAAAUUCUGAUAUUAUCUUCAAUUAGACAAUUUUUCUUAAAACUUCACUAAGAAACACAAUAUCAAAUUUGCUUAUUAUACGUUCUCCUUAUAUACCUCAAAAACCUAAGGGUUCCUUUGUUAGGUUUGUCCAUGAAAGGUGAGUCAAAGCCUAAGAUCAAGUCGAAAGGCAUAGUUGAUGGGUAAUAAGUGAAUAUUCUUGUAUUAUCCCUUGUUAGUCUCGAAAAAUCGAAAAGCAACCCCAUUUUUCACCUUAAAUUAAUCAAAAUAAGUAAAAUUUCUUGCUUUUUGUAAAUGAGUAGAUUUAAUAACUAGGGGUCUAUGGCUAACUGAUAUAAAAUAAUUUAAAUAAAAAAUAUACAAAAUCUAAUCAUUAAUAACCCUGAAUUAAAAUUAAGAAAAUUAUCUUCAAAAGAAUAUGUGCUAAUAGCAUAUUAUAAAAUAAUGAGUAAACUAAAAAUAAAAGAAAGUAAAAAAAAAAGAAGAUGGAGAGAAUUUGAGACGAUGUUUUUUUAGAGAAGGAUGUUAAUACGUGGAUGGAACAAUGCUUUUAUAAGCUUACGUAAAGAAAAAGUAGAUAUCUCCAUUAACUUACUGUUAAUAGAUCAAGUAGAUUUAGUUACUACUGAGUCAUUUUCAAGCACCCGAGUGAACUCAUCUAAAUAUUUGGUUUGCAACUUCACAUUUCCAAAGAUUUCCCUCAUUGCCCAUGCAUUUCUCCUAAGUUGCUCUCCUUCUUCUUCCACCAUAACUCGUUUUAUUGACUUACUCACUGAGUCGCCUGUAAAUGAUCCAUCUCGCUUGUCCCUCGGUACUUCCAACCCGACUCGCUUGCCUUCAAGGAGUCUUGCCACCAACCCCAGAUCUGAAGAAGGCCCGGGGAAAAGAAUCAGCACCCGACCCAACCCGAGAGCCUCGAUCACGGAGCUCCAUCCACAGUGGGUCAAGAAUCCACGAACUGAUGGGUGAGCCAAGAUUUGCUUUUGUGGAGCCCAAUUGGCCCAAACUAAACCACGACCUGAAACCCGACCCUCAAACCCGGUUAUAAUCGGAUCAUCUUUGGUUUUAACCACCCAAAUGAAGGGUAAGCCGGAUUUCUCUAUUCCAGAUGCCAACUCGUUCAUUUCGUCCUGACUCAGAGUCAACUCACUACCGAGUGCAACGUAAAGGACGGAGUUUUCGGUUUUCUCGUCAAGCCAUUGUCUUAACGAGCCCCAGCUCUCGUCUCCCUCGCUGUCGUUCACCUCCGUCGGAAGCAACCCUAUCGGAACGACAGGCUUUUGGUAGAGAUUUUCGAGGAGACUCAGUGAAUCACCCUCUAACUCGGCGCAGCUCCUGGUAGCUACAAAUCGGCAGCCUUCAAUCACCUUUGCCAAUCGGAAGAAAUCGGAAGCUUCCGAGUCCAUGCAGUCCUGGAUGCGGGUCACCUCGUGGAUCCUGAAAGCGACGGUGGACGGAAACGGGAUCCACUCAGGAACCACGGUUAAGUUCUCCACCUGCUGUUGACAGCGGCGGAGAAUCUCCUCCGGCGAGCCCAUGAAAGCGAGUGUGCUGGCAUUGAAAAUGCUGAAGAAGACUGAGUUGAUACCGAGUCGAGAGGCGAUUGGGGGCAACCAGUGAGGAGCAAAGUCAUAGAUGAGCCAGUUGACAUCGGAGUUGUGUAGAAACUGAGUGAGAGGGAGUUGGAGCUGGUCGUAGGCUCGUUUCAGAUAGGGGACUAGGUGGAAGGGCAACUCGGAGGUGGACUCGGCGGAGUCGGGCAAGCCAUGGACGGGAGACAGAGGCAGUGGCACCAUGGUUACAAGCGAGGAUAAAUUUGGAGCAAUUUGAGAGAGGCGACGAAGGUUUUUAGGGGUGGAGAGGAAGGAAAUGCGGUGACCCAUUUGAACUAAGUGGUUGGAGAGAUGAAGAAAAGGCAAGAAGUGGCCAAAUGCCAGCCAUGGGAACACAGCUAUGUGAAGCUUCUGAUGCUCCUUCUUCAUCUCAUCCAUGGCAAUGGGGUUGUGAGUUGUGAGAGAAAUCAAGAUUCAAGACUUCUGGGUAGCGCAGUGAUGUGAGGCUGAAAAGGAGUUGUUAUCGCCAUCCAAGGAGCACUAUACCGAACGAGGGAUGUCCCACCACAGCUUUGUUCUUUGGUGCCCAUUGUUAUUUUGGGUACCCACCCAGACUCCAGUAAUAAAGUGACACGUGUAAAGUGUAUUCAAGUAACUUAUCAAACCGACAAGAUGAAUUAUUGAUCGGAAAUAAUCACAUGCAUAUCAAUCAUAUCUACAUAUUAUAACUUUUUUAUAAUUUAUUAUUAAAUAUCAAAUAUAAUUUCUUAUUUAAUGAACAAUAAAACAUUUAUUUAAAGAAAAAAAAAAAGCUACCGAGUUACCCUUAUACUCUCACUAUUCAAACAUAUAAAAAGGGUACUAAUUUAAUAUGAAAAUUAGGUCAACUAAUGCAUUGAAAAAAAUGGGGAUGUGUUUUGAUAAAACACAUUUGAAUGUCAAGUUCAAAACUUUUUGAGGAAGAAAAGAAAAAAAUUUGUAUUCCUUGAUGAAGAUCAAGGAUUUCAAGUGAUUAUAAGUGUCAAAAGUAAUAUUUGAUUGUUUUUUUUAUUUAAAUAUGAAUUAUGUAGGUAGAAAUGUUAUGUUAAAUAAUAAAUAUGUAAUAAUUUUAUAAUUUUUUAUGAGCUUAUUAUUAAUCAAAUGAGGAUGAUUUAAUAUUAUGUUAUCAAAUUACUAUUAAUAUUUUUAUAUUAUUUUUUUUGUGUGUUGAUAGAUUAGAUUUGAAGAUGAAGUUUUAUGUCUUGCAAAGGGAAAACAAGAAUUUUUGUUUCUUAAGAAGAUAUCAUAUGAAGGAUUUCAAGUGAUUACAACUGUUAAAUGUAACAUUUGAUAUGUUUUUUUUGUUUAUUUAAAUAUAAAUUUUGAAAGUAACAAUGUCAUGUUAAAUAGCAUUUAAAUAUGCAAUGAUUCGAUUUAGAUUUUAAAUUUUUUAUGAGUUAUUAUUAAUCAAAUUGAGACAAUUUAGUCAUUUGUCAUGAAAUUGUCAUCAAUAUUUUAUAUCAUUUUUUUGUGUAUUCAUAUAUUAAAUUUGAAGAUGAAGUUUUAUAUAUCUUGAAGAAGGAAAAUAAGAAUUUUUGUUUCUCAAGAAGAUAUUAUAUUAAGGAUUCCAAGUUAUUACAAGUAUUAAAUGUAAAAUUUGAUUCUUUUUUUUUUAAUUUAAAUAUAAAUUUUGUAGGUAGAAAUGUCGUGUUAAAAAGCAAUUGUUUUAAAUAUGUGAGAGGGGAUAUGAACAAUGUGAGAGAUAGUAUAAAUAGUAUGAGAGAAGGUAUAAGCAAUGUGAGAAGGUGUACAAAAAAUGUGAAAAGGGUAUAAACAAUGUAAGACAAUGUACAAACAAUGUGAUAAGGAGUACGAAUAAUGUNNNNNNNNNNNNNNNNNNNNNNNNNNNNNNNNNNNNNNNNNNNNNNNNNNNNNNNNNNNNNNNNNNNNNNNNNNNNNNNNNNNNNNNNNNNNNNNNNNNNGAAUAAUGUGAGAGGGGGUAUAACAAUAUGAGAUGAGAUACGGACAGUGUCAGAGAAUGUACGAACAUUGUAAAAGAUGAUAUAAACAAUGUGAGAUGAAAUACGAACAGUAUGAGAGAAGGUAUGAACAUUGUAAAAGAUGAUAUAAACAAUGUGAGAUGAGAUACGAACAGUGUGAAAAAAGGUACGAGCAUUGUAAAAGAUUAUAACAAAUAAUAUGAGAGAUGGUACGAACAAUGUGAGAAAUGAUACAAACAAUGUAAGAGAGUACAAAUAAUGUGAGAUGAGGUACGAAUAAUGUGAUAAAUGAUACAAACAAUGUAAGAGAGUACAAAUAGUAUGAACAAUGUGAGAGAGGUACAAACAAUGUGAGAGAUGAUAUGAAUAUUGUAAAAGAUUGUAUGAACAUUGUGAGAGAUUGUACAAACAUUAUAAGAAAUAGUACGAACAUUGUGAGAUGGUGUACAAAUAUUGUGAGAUAGAGUAUGAAUAAUGUGAGAGAUAGUACAAACAUAAUGAGAGAUGGUACAAAGAUUGUAAUAGAGACUAUGAACAAUGUGAAAAAGGGUUGAACAUUAUGAGAUGGGGUACAAAGAAUGUGAGAGAUGAUAUGAAUAUUGUAAGAGAUUGUAUGAACAUUGUGAGAGAUUGUACAAACAUUAUAAGAAAUAAUACGAACAUUGUGAGAUAGAGUAUGAACAAUGUGAGAGAUAGUACAAACAUAAUGAGAGAUGGUACAAAGAUUGUAAUAGAGACUAUGAACAAUGUGAAAAAAGGUUGAACAUUGUGAGAGAGUGUACAAACAAUGUAAGAGGGGUAUGAACAAUUUUAUUAAACAAAUUAAAAUAAUUUAAUUAUUUGUUAUCAAAUUCAAUAUUUUUAUAUCAUUUUUUUUUUUGUAUUUAGGGAUUAUAAAAUAUUAUUAUUAUCCUUAUUAUAUAUAUAUAUAUAUAAAUGAAAGAAUUUGAGAAAUGAUAUGAAACAUGUGAAACAAGGUAUGAAAUGAUAUAAAAAUAUUUAUUUAAAAAAAAACCAAAUUGAUAACAAGUAUGACUAAAUAAUGUAAUUUUCUAACUACUUUUUCUUUUAUAUUUCAGUUCCUUCAUGGAUAUGAUAGACAAAGGCAAAGGAAAUGAAUUCAUCAUCGAUUUGAAGGAUGAAGACUUUGACUACCAAUAUGAUAGUAAUGUGAAAACUGAGUUUGAUGAAGAGUCCAUGUUAGGAAUCUUCACAUUUUUUUGUACUCUUCCCAAAAUUUCAAGUAUUUUUAUGUUUAAAUUUUUUUGUGCAUAAUUUACAUCAAUCAUAAGUGUAAUUAGUAUUUUUAAAUAAUAUCAUAACUAUUGAAAGUGGGAAAAAAUUCUUAAAAAUCAAAGAAGUCAAAAUUUUGGAGGAUACGAAAAAUGUAAGAAAUCCUUAUAUUCUUUGUACUUUCUCUUUAUUUCAUGUUUUUUUUUAAAUUUUGAUAUUUUUCUCCUAAUAUUCCUUCAUUUGUGACUCAAUUAAGCUAUUUUAUUGUUAUUUUUAAUGAAAAAUUAAAUCUUAAAAAUUUUUCAAAUAUAAAAUUUGGAGGAUAGGAAAAAAAUGUGAGAAUGUUACAAAUCAUACCCUUUUCAAUUUAAUUUUUUUAGCCAAAUAAUCUAUCAUUCUUGACUCAGUAAAGUUGUUUUAUUGUUAUUUAGAGUAAAAAAAUAAAUCCUAAAAAUGAUCAACAUGUAACAUUUUUAUGAUUUUUAUUAUAAAGUGUUACUAGGAAUACCAUCUUUUUAUGAUUCAAUUUUACAUUCGUGAAAUAAGAGUAAUAGUAUUGUUUGAUGAGUCAUGCUAAAAACGACUAAAUUAAGUUUAUAUGGUUUUUAUAAUUAUAUUCAAAUAUGUUAUAGCUAAUGUUAUAUAAAAUAUAAUGGAAUUUAAAUGUGUUGUAGUUUUAAUUUCAUAUAAUUAAUCAAAUUUUUUAUAAUUGAUCAUGGUCCAAUUACCUAAUACCUUUGUUUAACCUAUGCUCAAAAUGUUGAAUAUCAAUACAAAUAUUAAUUCCAUAUUAAAACAUCACCAUAUUCAUUUUUAUGUUCGUAAAAAUCAAUAUUCAUGAGGAGCUUACAAACUAAGUGAAUUCAAAUGUUUUACAAAUUUUAUACCAAUUUCAUUUUUAUUUUUAUCCAAUUCUAUUUUUUUUUUAUCUCAUUUAAUUAUUUCAUAUAAACCCAAAAUUGUUUGUUUAAAUACAAUUAUCCAUUAUCCAUUCAUCUUGAAACCCAUUUAUCUCAUCUCAUCAUUUCAUCUUGAAAAAUGAAUGGAACGACUGUUUCCUGCCAAAUAAUGGAUCCAAUGGCUACUAUGUGAUGAGGUGUGAUUGGAUGUUUUUGAUAUAUUCCAACGGCUACAAUGAUGAAUGUGAAGAGAAAAAAUGGAAGAAAAUGGACAAAAUGAAAUCAUGAGGGAGAGAAAGAAAGAGGAAGAAGAGACAAAUGAAGAAGAGGGAAUGGAGGAACCAGUUACUCCUUUAAUAGGUUAUCUUGUUUGUUUUUUUUUUUUUUUUAAAUUUAAAAUGGAUGGCCAAGAUCUAAUGACUAGAGAAUUUUUUUGGUACUAUAGAAUUUUCCAUCCCAUAAAUCCUAUUACUUUUCCCCCACAAUGGGUAAGCCAAGGGGAAGAAGUGUGUUUUGGUGGGAGAGUUUUGAAAAUGAAGGGAAGAAUCCUUAAAAAAAAAAAAAAUAGAAAAAUAAUUUUCUCUUUGAUUUUUACAUAAAAAUAUAUAUAAAAAAUCAAAUAUAAUAAAAAUUAAUUAAAAAUUUAUAAAUUUUUAAAUUAUUUAAUCUUUAUAGAAAAAGUAAAACGAGUUUGAAAUAUCGUAUAAAAAUAAUUUAUUAACUUUAAAUCAAUUUAUUUAUUUUUCCACUUUUUAUUUCCUUUCACUUUCUUUUUAUUUUAUUUCUCUUAUAUAUUCCCUUAAAUUUUUAUGAACCAAAUAUAACUUAAAAGCUUAAUAUAUCCCAAUAAAAAAAAUAUUAUUUGCAUUAAUAUUUAUAAUCCACCUUUAAUUUAAAAAUAUGUAAAACAAUAAUAGAUAUUUUGUGUUGGACGUCAUUUGUCUUAUCCGGGCUGAGCCGUGGAGUAUAUUUGGCUCUGUGGGAUGCUCGAGUCCGGAGACUACACGUUUCCCCACAAAGUGGCCUCCCCAGGAUUUGAACUCAAGACCUUAAGGUCUUUUGGUUUGCCCUNNNNNNNNNNNNNNNNNNNNNNNNNNNNNNNNNNNNNNNNNNNNNNNNNNNNNNNNNNNNNNAUUUUGGAAUCACAUAUUUUGGCAUAUUAAAACACAACUUUUCCCAUGGAAAAAGGCAUGAUGGUCCAAUUACCUAAUACCUUUAUUUAACCUAUGCUCAAAAUGUUGAAUAUCAAUACAAAUAUUAAUUCCAUAUUAAAACAUCACCAUAUUCAUUUUUAUGUUCGUAAAAAUCAAUAUUCAUGAGGGAGCUUACAAACUAAGUGAAUUCAAAUGUUUUACAAAUUUUAUACCAAUUUCAUUUUUAUUUUUAUCCAAUUCUAUUUAUUUUUAUCUCAUGAAGGGCAACUCGGAGGUGGACUCGACGGAGUCGGGCAAGCCAUGGACGGGAGGCAGAGGCAGUGGCACCAUGGUUACAAGUGAUGAUAAAUUUGGAGCAAUUUGAGAGAGGCGACAAAGGUUUUUAGGGGUGGAGAGAAGGGAAAUGCGGUGACCCAUUUGAACUAAGUGGUUGGAGAGAUGAAAAAAAG